rnacentral:tRNA from 1 species
ACGCCUGAUAAGCGUGAGGUUCGGCAGUUCGAGUCUGCCCGGGCCUACCAGCCCCCACCAGACUAGUUCUGCUGGACUGAAAGCAGCAUGACCCGCACCGACAAGCUCUCCUGAGCCUCGCACUGUUCCUUGGAAUGGGGCCGUAGCUCAGUUGGUAGAGCGCCUGCUUUGCAAGCAGGAUGUCGUCGGUUCGACUCCGUCCGGCUCCACCAGGCCGCCCCGCGGCCCUGGAAUAGACCUGAGGCUCCCGUUGGACGCCUCGGUUGUUUCCCUGGAACUCGUAGAUCGCAUCAAGAGAUUGCCUCAGCUGCCUUGCAGCUGACGGCAUUGAUAUUGUGAAGGAAGAAUUGAUCCGGCCUGUUCAUAGGCUUUGAGGAUCCGUUCGAGAGAAGACAUUGUCUGACAAAAAUCAGGCAGGAACCCGCUGGCAUUUUCUUUUCCAGUCAGCGGAAUUUAUUUUCCUGCAUGAGUUUUGCUGAGAAAACGAAUCAAACGUUGAAAGGGCUUUCUG